rnacentral:rRNA from 1 species
CCUACGGGUGGCAGCAGUGAGGAAUAUUGGUCAAUGGGCGAAAGCCUGAACCAGCCAAGUAGCGUGAAGGAUGACGGCCCUAUGGGUUGUAAACUGCUUUUAUACGGGAAUAACGCGCCUUACGUGUAGGGCUUUGCAUGUACCGUAUGAAUAAGGACCGGCUAAUUCCGUGCCAGCAGCCGCGGUAAUACGGAGGGUCCGGGCGUUAUCCGGAUUUAUUGGGUUUAAAGGGAGCGUAGGCGGAUUGUUAAGUCAGUUGUGAAAUGUUCGGGCUCAACCGGAGCAUUGCAGCGCAAACUGGCAGUCUUGAGGCCAGGAGAGGCGGGCGGAAUUCGUGGUGUAGCGGUGAAAUGCUUAGAUAUCACGAAGAACCCCGAUUGCGAAGGCAGUUCACUGGACCGCAACUGACGCUGAUGCUCGAAAGCGCGGGUAUCAAACAGGAUUAGAUACCCCAGUAGUC